AAUGGUCCCUUAACUACGAGAGUAGGUUCAAAAUAGUCCCUUAACUAUGCACUUAACGGUUUUGGUCCUUUAAGUUUGCCAUAAGUUAACAAAAAUGGUCCCUUAACUAUGAGGGUUGGUUAAAAAUAGUCCCUUAAGUAUGCACUUAACGACUUGAUAAUGUUAGAAAGUGGUGUCUCGAAACACAAAGACCGACGGACUUUGUCGAUUAAAACCGAGGGAAUCCAUCGGCUAAAUAAAAUACACUAGACUUUACAAAUAAAUUAGAAAUAGCAGAAACUAAAAAAGUUGUCACUACCAAAAACAAGCGAAGAAACGGCGGACGGAAACCGAUGGAUAAAAUCGAGGGACACUAUUUUUUUAAUUUUUUUUAAUUUUUAUUGUUUUUUACGAAAACCAACCGAAGUCCAUCGGUUAUUUUUGAGGAAAAAUGCGCGGAAACUAUUUUUUUU